rnacentral:rRNA from 1 species
AGACUGCCUGCGCAAGCAGAGAGGAAGGAGGGGACGACGUCAAGUCAUCAUGGCCCUUACGCCCAGGGCGACACACGUGCUACAAUGGCGCAUACAGCGGGUCGCGAGCCGGUAACGGUAAGCCAACCUCUAGAAGUGCGUCUCAGUUCGGAUUGAGGUCUGCAACUCGACCUCAUGAAGCUGGAAUCGCUAGUAAUCGCGCAUCAGCCAUGGCGCGGUGAAUACGUUCCCGGACCUU